AUUGAACGCUGGCGGCAGGCCUAACACAUGCCAGUCGAGCGGAGCGGCGGACGGGUGAGUACUGCCUAGGCAUCUGCCUGGUAGUGGGGGAAAACGUCCGGAAACGGGCGCUAAUACCGCAAACCAUCAGAGGAGCCUAGGUCGGGUUAGCUAGUUGGUGGGGUGAAGGUCUACCAAGGCGACGAUCCGUAACUGGUCCGAGAGGAUGAUCAGUAAAACAGGAACAGAGACACGGUCCAGACUAGUGCGUGAGGCAGCAGUGGGGAAUAUUGUACAAUGGGCGAAAGCCUGAACCAGCCAUGCCGCGUUUGUGAAGAAGGUCUUCGGAUUGUAAAGCGCUUUAAGUUGGGAGGCGUUACCAACAGGAUAAGCACCGGCUAACUUCAUGCCAGCAGCCGCGGUAAUAC
rnacentral:rRNA from 1 species